GACUCUGCACUGAGUGCAAGCCCAACUGGGAGCUCAAUCUCACAACCCUGAGAUCAUGACCUAAGCUGAAAUCCCGAGUCAGAUGCCUAACCAACCACCACCACCCAGGAGCUCUUAUAAUCAAUUCUUAAUCAUCUUGUUGGAAGGCAAGGAAUGCCUGUCAUUCCAGAGCACACACUGUGAAGAGCUGAAGUCAGGAAGGGGAGGAGACUGCCAACUACAUUCUAGCUGCUGAGCGGCACAGCCCUAAGAAGCCACACCUACCUUUCCUGACACCAAGCUUGUUUUAUAACUCUCCAGACUCACAUCCAUAGAAGAAUGGGAGCCUGCUCAAGAAUCUACCAAUGAACUUGUAAAUGUAAUCAUACAAAAACCAUCAGGGUUAUGCACAGCAGACUGACGGGCGCAGAAUUCAGCUCAAAGGCACACAGUGAGAGAGAGGCAGAGACACAGGCAGAGAGAGAAGCAGGCUCCACGCACCGGGAGCCUGACGUGGGAUUCGAUCCCGGAUAUCCAGGACCGCGCCCUGGGCCAAAGGCAGGCACCAAACCGCUGCGCCACCCAGGGAUCCCCUGUCAUCAAAUUUUUAAGUGCCAAAGUCCUUCAAUAAAUGACAGCUGCUAAAAAAAAACCAGAGCUUUUAGUUUAAAUCUUUGUCUUCCAAACUGAGAUCACAGUAAUUUCCGGGCUUUCCUUUUGCCUUUUCUUAGCACCUUCUUUUCCCCAUUAUC